rnacentral:piRNA from 1 species
GCAGGGAUCGAAGAGGAAGAGGC